GAGGUUAUAGCUCAGUGUUCGAGUGUGUGCUUAGCAUGCAUCAGGUCCUGGGUUCAAUCCCCAGUGCCUCCA
rnacentral:tRNA from 1 species